UGGGGAAUAUUGCGCAAUGGGCGCAAGCCUGAUGCAGCGACGCCGCGUGCGGGAUGGAGGCCUUCGGGUUGUAAACCGCUUUUGUUUGGGAGCAAGCCCUUCGGGGUGAGUGUACCUUUCGAAUAAGCACCGGCUAACUACGUGCCAGCAGCCGCGGUAAUACGUAGGUG
rnacentral:rRNA from 1 species